UCCGUAGGUGAACCUGCGGAAGGAUCAUUACUGAAGAUAAUAGGAUCUUGAGACUGCGUCCAUAAUGGCGUGUGCUCGAUCCUUACUCUUUCAUCCACACACACCUUCGUGCACUAUGGGGACGUCAAGUCCCCCUUUUUAUAUACAAACACCUAGUUUAAUGCAUGUCUUUCAUAUACUCUAAGGAGUAAAUGUAACAACUUUCAACAACGGAUCUCUUGGCUUUCGCAUCGAUGAAGAACGCAGCGAACGUGCGAAACGUAAUGUGAAUUGCAGAAUUCAGUGAAUCAUCGAAUCUUUGAACGCAUCUUGCGCUCCUUGGUAUUCCGAGGAGCAUGCCUGUUUGAGUGUCGUGAAAUACUCUCAAUUUCAAUCUUUUUCGGUUUGAAAUUGGACUUGGGUGUUGUUGUGGCUCACAACUCAUCCUAAAUGCAUUAGCGAUCUGCCUUCGAUCACACACAAUGUGAUAAGAAAAAAGCAUUGUUAUAAUCAAGUCAGGGUUGCUUCCAACCGUCCCUCUGGGACAAUCAUUCAUGUCAUUUGACCUCAGAUCAGGCAGGACUACCCGCUGAACUUAAGCAUAUCAAUAAGCGGAGGA
rnacentral:rRNA from 1 species